CCAGGGUAUCGUGAGACAUUUGCUGAACUUUGCUAUCCAGUACAGUACAUACACUUGAAGGCUAUAUGACUCGGGAUCGGAUCCGCAGAGCAGCACACUGUUUAACCUUCUUGCCUUCAGGAGAGUUGUGCCUAUUCUAUUGCACAAACCCCAAAAGUUUCAGAUUUCUAGAAAACAGCUUAGAAGAAACCAUGGUGCUGAUUGUUGGGGCAAGGUCAGAUGAGUCUGGGCAUUUAAAACCUUUGAGAUUGACAUCACCUGGUCUUCCCAGAUGAUGAUUGAGAACAAUCCAUGACACUGGCAGGUCUCAGCUUUGCAAAGGGGGCAGUGCAUGCAGCCCAAACUUUUGCAGACGCCAUUUUUUUGCUUUCUGUUAUUUUUACAGUGUAAAUGAUGGAAAUAAAAUCUAACUUUUGUUGACAUAUUAUAAGAAUGUCUAAUCUUUAAUUUGAUGCCUUUUGGAGAUUUUUCCAUCUUUCCUUGGCUUCUUUAUGCACAUUAAUACAAAUUUUUACCUGGGGUGCCCAA